GCCUUGCUGGCGCAAUGGUAGCGCGCCAGACUUCUAUUCAAUUAGAGAUCUGGAGGUUGUGGGUUCGAGUCCCGUAUGUUGAA